GCAGUAGUGGUUCAGUAGUAGAAUUCUUGCCUUCCAUGCAGGAGACUUAGGUUCAAUUCCCAGCCAGUGCU
rnacentral:tRNA from 1 species